CUUGGGAGCCCUGACGACUCUGUCUUUUUUCUUUUGAAGUGUGUUUUUUCUUUCAUCCUCACCCCUCCUCUCAGGCAUGUGUGUUUCAAGAACCAGAGAUUGUGUUCUAUUCCACCUGGCUUGUGCUGGAAGUUAAAGAGAGCCACAAGAGUAGUAUACAGAAAAUGGGCAGAUAAUUCUGCUCAAUGAGAACAAGUGCGGAGUUAUUGAUUCAUUGUUCCAAAACAGCCAAAGACCAUAGAAGAAGGAGGAGAAGGAGAAGGAGGAGAAGUUGUUCACAGAGGCUGAAUUUUAGAGCCAGGGAGAACAAUGAACUAAUACUAAUCAAGGAAAUUUUCUACCCACAAUGAAGAGAGGCUUGGCAAUAUUUGCUCAACAUGAAUUCCAAAUUUUCUAGACUAAGACUAUUAAGGGCUUUCUAUUUUUUCCUUUCCAGGUAGGAGUAUAUGCUGCAGUUUCUAUUCUAUUCUAUUGUACAUUGAGUGUGUGGAGGAAAUAUUAUAAGUGUUUGGAUUUGUGGCAUAAGAUGAACUUCAUAUGAAUAUGAUGUAGAUAGUGGAUUUCUAGAUUUUUAUAUUAAAGCUGGAAUUGAACGAGG
rnacentral:lncRNA from 1 species